rnacentral:rRNA from 1 species
UACGAAGGGGGCUAGCGUUGCUCGGAAUCACUGGGUGUAAAGGGCGCGUAGGCGGCCAUUCAAGUCAGAGGUGAAAGCCCAAGGCUCAACCUUGGAAUUGCCUUUGAUACUGUUUGGCUUGAGACCGGAAGAGGUUAGUGGAACUGCGAGUGUAGAGGUGAAAUUCGUAGAUAUUCGCAAGAACACCAGUGGCGAAGGCGGCUAACUGGUCCGGUUCUGACGCUGAGGCGCGAAAGCGUGGGGAGCAAACAGG